CGAACGUCGGACCCAAAUUUAGUACAUUCGAUAUCAAAUCUUUCUACCAUACGCCUCAACAGAGGAGAAAACAUUUUUAAUAUGGACGACUCGACAAACCAAAAAAAAAAAACCCCAACAAUAUACAUAAUGAACACUGUUUGGAAAAGUCAACCUUUUCAAAGUAACUUUCUAAAUUAUGUUUGAAAUUUAUAAAGAAUGCAUUUAUUUAAUAAUUUGUUUGUUUGUUUUGUUUUGUUUGUUUGUUUGUUUUUU
rnacentral:lncRNA from 1 species